rnacentral:rRNA from 1 species
UACGAAGGGGGCUAGCGUUGCUCGGAAUCGACUGGGCGUAAAGCGCGACGUAGGCGGAUUGCUAAGUCAGGGGUGAAAUCCUGGAGCUCAACUCCAGAACUGCCUUUGAUACUGGCAACCUUGAGUCCGGGAGAGGUGAGUGGAACUGCGAAGUGUAGAGGUGAAAUUCGUAGAUAUUCGCAAGAACACCAGUGGCGAAGGCGGCUCACUGGCCCGGUACUGACGCUGAGGUGGCGAAAGCG